rnacentral:rRNA from 1 species
ACGGCUACCUUGUUACGACUUAGCCCCAGUCAUCGGUUUUGCCCUAGGGCGCUGCUCGCGCUCAUGCACUUCAGGCACUCCCGACUCCCAUGGCUUGACGGGCGGUGUGUACAAGGCCCGGGAACGUAUUCACCGCGCCGUGGCUGAUGCGCGAUUACUAGCGAAUCCAGCUUCAUGGAGUCGGGUUGCAGACUCCAAUCCGAACUGAGACAGGCUUUCGGGUUCCGCUCCCUGUCGCCAGGUGGCUUCCCGCUGUACCUGCCAUUGUAACACGUGUGUCGCCCCGGACGUAAGGGCCGUGCUGAUUUGACGUCAUCCCCGCCUUCCUCGCAGCUUGCGCCGGCAGUCCCGCCAGAGUCCCCAGCUUUGCCUGUUGGCAACUGGCGGUAGGGGUUGCGCUCGUUAUGGCACUUAAGCCGACACCUCACGGCACGAGCUGACGACAACCAUGCAGCACCUCGUCGCAAGUCCGUAGACGGGCAUCCUUUCAGACACCCUUCCUGCAACGUUUG